UGGGGAAUAUUGGACAAUGGGCGAAAGCCUGAUCCAGCCAUGCCGCGUGUGUGAAGAAGGUCUUCGGAUUGUAAAGCACUUUAAGUUGGGAGGAAGGGCAGUAAGCUAAUACCUUGCUGUUUUGACGUUACCGACAGAAUAAGCACCGGCUAACUUCGUGCCAGCAGCCGCGGUAAUACGAAGGGUGCAAGCGUUAAUCGGAAUUACUGGGCGUAAAGCGCGCGUAGGUGGUUUGUUAAGUUGGAUGUGAAAGCCCCGGGCUCAACCUGGGAACUGCAUCCAAAACUGGCAAGCUAGAGUAUGGCAGAGGGUGGUGGAAUUUCCUGUGUAGCGGUGAAAUGCGUAGAUAUAGGAAGGAACACCAGUGGCGAAGGCGACCACCUGGGCUAAUACUGACACUGAGGUGCGAAAGCGUGGGGAGCAAACAGGAUUAGAUACCC
rnacentral:rRNA from 1 species